AACGAACGCUGGCGGCAUGCCUAACACAUGCAAGUCGAACGAGACCUCCGGGAGUAGUUGCUCACGGGUGCGUCACGCGUGGGAACGUUCCCUUAGGCUCCGGAUAACUCUUUGACGGGGGUGCUAAUAUCGGAUAACGUCUGCGGACACAAGAUUUAUCGUCUUGGUAUGCGCCCGCGUUGGUCUAGCUAGUUGGUAGGGUAAAAGCCUAUGACGGCGAGGAUCCAUAGCUGGUCAGAGAGGAACGUCAGCCACACUGGGGCUGAGACACGGUCGAGACUCCUACGGGAGGCAGCAGUGGGGAAUAUUGGAAAAUCGGCGAAAGCCUGAAGCAGCUAGGCCGCGUGAGUGAUGAAGUCCUUAGAGUUGUAAAGCUCUUUUACCCGGGAUGAUAAUGACAGUACCGGGAGAAUAAGCACCGGCUAACUCCGUG
rnacentral:rRNA from 1 species